AUACGAAGGGGGCUAGCGUUGCUCGGAAUCACUGGGCGUAAAGGGUGCGUAGGCGGGUUUCUAAGUCAGAGGUGAAAGCCUGGAGCUCAACUCCAGAACUGCCUUUGAUACUGGAAGUCUUGAGUUCGGGAGAGGUGAGUGGAACUGCGAGUGUAGAGGUGAAAUUCGUAGAUAUUCGCAAGAACACCAGUGGCGAAGGCGGCUCACUGGCCCGAUACUGACGCUGAGGCUCGAAAGCAUGGGUAGC
rnacentral:rRNA from 1 species